CAGGUGCUCAGAGCAGAACCUGGGCAACCUGUUCCAAUCCAAUUGUCGGGGGUGACAGCGGGUCUGUCAGCACCUUGGCACAUACUGACGAAGCAAUCGAUGUUGACCAGAUCAAAGUAUACCCCUGAGAUGGCCUGAAAAGAGAGGACUGAAAAUGGAGGCCCUGAUCCUGACAACAUACUGAUGCAUCCUGAAGAAGCUGUCCCGUGGGAACAGAGAACACUGUCUCAUGAAAACAGGAGCACUGUCUCAUGAGAACAAGGACCUGUUUUGAACGAGAGUAGUUGGGAAAAACAUCAACAUGAGAGAAAAAUAAGAGCAGGUGCUCAGGACUGUUGUGGG